GGGGAUGCCGGGAUUAGACAGUGAGGUCAGUCCGGUUACCGGCCAAGCGGCGCUCGGGUUGCGCCUUAAACCACCUGAAAACUAUAAUUGCCAACACUGGCAAGCCGGCGUUCGCUUGGAACGUCCCGGCCUUCGUUACCGCCUAAUAAGCCGUAACCAUCGCUACCGUUUCGCCUCGGAACGGAUCUAGCGGUGUCAUUCACGAGGACGCUCGCGAUAAUGAGCUAACAAGUUAUCGUGCUAAGACCCAUUGCUAGCUCGUUGAAUAUUAUUUCGUCUUUUUAAUAGAUGUUCAGCUAAACAAAAUAAAAAGACUAUGCUUGGUAGAUGGUAAUCAGAUUGCUUAUUGGACAGGAGUUCAACUCUCCUCAUCUCCACCU
rnacentral:tmRNA from 2 species